rnacentral:rRNA from 1 species
AGUGAACGCUGGCGGUAGGCCUAACACAUGCAAGUCGAACGGCAGCACAGUAAGAGCUUGCUCUUACGGGUGGCGAGUGGCGGACGGGUGAGGAAUACAUCGGACUCUACUUUUUCGUGGGGGAUAACGUAGGGAAACUUACGCUAAUACCGCAUACGACCUACGGGUGAAAGCAGGGGAUCUUCGGACCUUGCGCGAUUGAAUGCGCCGAUGUCGGAUUAGCUAGUUGGCGGGGUAAAGGCCCACCAAGGCGACGAUCCGUAGCUGGUCUGAGAGGAGGAUCAGCCACACGGGAACUGAGACACGGUCCAGACUCCUACGGGAGGCAGCAGUGGGGAAUAUUGGACAAUGGGCGCAAGCCUGAUCCAGCCAUACCGCGUGGGUGAAGAAGGCCUUCGGGUUGUAAAGCCCUUUUGUUGGGAAAGAAAAGCAGCAGGUUAAUACCCCGCUGUUCUGACGGUACCCAAAGAAUAAGCACCGGCUAACUUCGUG